CCUACGGGAGGCUGCAGUGGGGAAUAUUGGACAAUGGGGGCAACCCUGAUCCAGCCAUGCCGCGUGUGUGAAGAAGGCCCUCGGGUUGUAAAGCACUUUCAGUGAGGAAGAACGCCUGGUGGUUAAUACCCAUCAGGAAAGACAUCACUCACAGAAGAAGCACCGGCUAACUCCGUGCCAGCAGCCGCGGUAAUACGGAGGGUGUGAGCGUUAAUCGGAAUUACUGGGCGUAAAGCGCGCGUAGGUGGCUUGAUAAGCCGGUUGUGAAAGCCCCGGGCUCAACCUGGGAACGGCAUCCGGAACUGUCAAGCUAGAGUGCAGGAGAGGAAGGUAGAAUUCCCGGUGUAGCGGUGAAAUGCGUAGAGAUCGGGAGGAAUACCAGUGGCGAAGGCGGCCUUCUGGACUGACACUGACACUGAGGUGCGAAAGCGUGGGUAGCAAACAGGAUUAGAUACCCCAGUAGUC
rnacentral:rRNA from 1 species